rnacentral:rRNA from 1 species
AUUGAACGCUGGCGGCAGGCUUAACACAUGCAAGUCGAGCGAGCGGCGGAAGGGUGAGUAAUGUAUGGGAAACUGACUGAGGGAGGGGGAUAAGGACUGGAAACGGUGACUAAUACCGCAUAGCAUACGAUGUGACCAGGUGGGAUUAGGUAGUAGGUGGGGUAAAGGCACACCGAGGCGACGAUCCCUAGCUGGGCUGAGAGGAUGACCAGCCACACUGUAACUGAGACACGGUCCAGAUUCCUACGGGAGGCAGCAGUGGGGAAUAUUGCACAAUGGGCGCAAGCCUGAUGCAGCCAUGCCGCGUGUGUGAAGAAGGCCUUCGGGUUGUAAAGCACUUUCAGCGAGGAGGCGUUACUCGCAGAAGAAGCACCGGCUAACUCCGUGCCAGCAGCCGCGGUAAUAC